rnacentral:rRNA from 1 species
AGAGAGAGACAUGCGCGCAUAUCAAUAAGCGGAGGAAAAGAAACUAACUAGGAUUCCCUCAGUAACGGCGAGUGAAGCGGGAAGAGCUCAAAUUUGAAAUCUUCAAGGGUUCUACCUUUACGAAUUGUAGUUUAAAGAAGUGUUUUCUGUUGAGGUUUUGGUAAAAGUUCUUUGGAAUAGGACAUCAUAGAGGGUGAGAAUCCCGUAUUUGACCAUUACUUUCCAGCUUUGUGAUACACUUUCAAAGAGUCGGAUUGUUUGGGAAUGCAGUCCAAAAUGGGUGGUAAAUUUCAUCUAAAGCUAAAUAUUGGCGAGAGACCGAUAGCGAACAAGUACCGUGAGGGAAAGAUGAAAAGAACUUUGAAAAGAGAGUUAAACAGUACGUGAAAUUGUCAAAAGGGAAGCGUUUGACACCAGUGUUGUUUUCUCGAAAAUCAAUUAAAAAAGGCAGGAUUUUGUGUUGUAUUGACUUUAUCAGCUUUCUGCACUCUUUUCUUGUCUUUUUUAAUGCACUUUUCGUUUAACAAGUCAACAUCAAUUUCUUUUGUUGUAAAAGGGUCAUUGGAAGGUGGCUUUCUUUUCGGAGAAAGUGUUUAUAGCCUUUGGCCUCUGCAAUCGGAGAGAUUGAGGUCUGCAGCGUAGAUCCUUCGGGGUUAGAUACAUUUGUGCUAAGUUAUAGCCUUUUCAUAGACAACUUGUUGACUAUGAUCAGUCAUGUAGCUUACUCGCUUAUGCUAUUUUACCUACGCUUAGGAUGUUGAUGUGAUACUGCGAGCA